UAACCGUAGGUGAACCUGCGGUUGGAUCAUUAAAAAGGGAUUGCCCUUGUCAGCAAUGGGAUCACUAUUCUAGUUUUCCUUGACUUGGGUACUUCUUGAUCCCAUUUCUUGUGAACUGUUAGAAAGCCUUAAGUGGCUUUAGCCUUCUAGGUUCCCUAGAUGUGCCUUUCAGAUCUUGGGUAGUUUGCGGAUUGAGUUUCCUUAGAGGCUCUCUCUCCGCCGCCUUGAACUGGGGUCUUUGAAAUAUUAAGACUUGCGGUUUGAGGUCGCCCUUAUCCUGGUUAAGUCCAGUGGUAGUAGGGCUACCCAGACACUUGUAACUAUCUUAGCUAUUUUUUAGUUUAUUUCUUUCAAUGUGAAAGCAUUGGAAACAAAUACAACUUCAGACAACGGAUCUCUAGGCUCUG
rnacentral:misc_RNA from 1 species